rnacentral:siRNA from 1 species
CUAACAAAAUAGCCAUGGUGUCA